CCUACGGGGGGCAGCAGUGGGGAAUAUUGCACAAUGGGGGAAACCCUGAUGCAGCGACGCCGCGUGAGGGAAGAAGGUUUUCGGAUUGUAAACCUCUGUCCUUGGUGACGAAAGAAGACGGUAGCCAAGGAGGAAGCCACGGCUAACUACGUGCCAGCAGCCGCGGUAAUACGUAGGUGGCAAGCGUUGUCCGGAAUUACUGGGUGUAAAGGGAGCGUAGGCGGGAGGAUAAGUUGGACGUAUAAACUAUCGGCUCAACCGGUAGAGGCGUUCAAAACUGUCCUUCUUGAGUGAAGUAGAGGUAA
rnacentral:rRNA from 1 species